rnacentral:rRNA from 1 species
AUGGAUUCUGGGCGGCAUGACCCAGAGGUCGCGUUGGGGAGCAGUACUGAGGAUCCAUCGUUACAGGUUGAGGCAACGUCAAUUUCAGAAGUCGAUUGGGAUAACUUGCAAAUAGUGGAGACACAUGAUGAAGAAGGUAGAAUUGAACUACUGAGUGAGGAUCAGUUAUGUGAAAUUUUGGGCUUGCAGGAUGAAGAAGAGAAAAAAGGUAAGAGUGAACCAAAGGGUCGUAAAAUGGUUGAGCAGGGCAGUGACAAUGAUGGUGCUGCCAUUCCUGUUAGUGAUGUCAUACCAAAUGAGGUAGUGAUUACAUAUGAUAAGGACCACCCAAAAAUGGACCUUGGCACAAUGUACCCAUCAAUGAAGGAAUUUAGGUUAGCAGUGAGGCAAUUUUUCAUCAAUGAGGAGUUUGAUAUAGGCACAGAGAAGUCGGAUAAAAAGAGAUUUAGAGGGUUCUGCAAGUCAAGUGAGGAUUGUCCUUGGAGGAUUGUUGGCAGCCUACAGGAUGAUAAAUGUACUGUAAAGGUCACAGUUUUAGUUGAUCAACAUGAUUGUGUUUCAAGCAGCAGAGUGAAGACCAUAACGCCAUCGCAAGACUGGGUAGCUAACAAGGCUGUGAGUAUCCUUAGGAGUUCACCUAAUAUGGGUGCUAAAGAAUUACAGAAAAAGUUGCAAGAACAAUCCAAAGUCACGAUUCUAUAUGACACGGUCUGGAGGGGGAAAGAAAAAGCUCUUGCAGAGGUUUAUGGUAAAUGGGAAGAGAGUUUUGAGAUGUUAUAUAAAUGGAAGGCUGAGGUACCUGAAGAGGUCACCUGGAAGUGUUGUGGAGAUUGA